rnacentral:rRNA from 1 species
AGAGUUUGAUCAUGGCUCAGAUUGAACGCUGGCGGCAGGCCUAACACAUGCAAGUCGAGCGGUAGCACAGAGAGCUUGCUCUCGGGUGACGAGCGGCGGACGGGUGAGUAAUGUCUGGGAAACUGCCUGAUGGAGGGGGAUAACUACUGGAAACGGUAGCUAAUACCGCAUAACGUCGCAAGACCAAAGUGGGGGACCUUCGGGCCUCAUGCCAUCAGAUGUGCCCAGAUGGGAUUAGCUAGUAGGUGGGGUAACGGCUCACCUAGGCGACGAUCCCUAGCUGGUCUGAGAGGAUGACCAGCCACACUGGAACUGAGACACGGUCCAGACUCCUACGGGAGGCAGCAGUGGGGAAUAUUGCACAAUGGGCGCAAGCCUGAUGCAGCCAUGCCGCGUGUGUGAAGAAGGCCUUCGGGUUGUAAAGCACUUUCAGCGGGGAGGAAGGCGGUGAGGUUAAUAACCUCAGCGAUUGACGUUACCCGCAGAAGAAGCACCGGCUAACUCCGUGCCAGCAGCCGCGGUAAUACGGAGGGUGCAAGCGUUAAUCGGAAUUACUGGGCGUAAAGCGCACGCAGGCGGUCUGUCAAGUCGGAUGUGAAAUCCCCGGGCUCAACCUGGGAACUGCAUUCGAAACUGGCAGGCUAGAGUCUUGUAGAGGGGGGUAGAAUUCCAGGUGUAGCGGUGAAAUGCGUAGAGAUCUGGAGGAAUACCGGUGGCGAAGGCGGCCCCCUGGACAAAGACUGACGCUCAGGUGCGAAAGCGUGGGGAGCAAACAGGAUUAGAUACCCUGGUAGUCCACGCCGUAAACGAUGUCGAUUUGGAGGUUGUGCCCUUGAGGCGUGGCUUCCGGAGCUAACGCGUUAAAUCGACCGCCUGGGGAGUACGGCCGCAAGGUUAAAACUCAAAUGAAUUGACGGGGGCCCGCACAAGCGGUGGAGCAUGUGGUUUAAUUCGAUGCAACGCGAAGAACCUUACCUGGUCUUGACAUCCACAGAACUUUCCAGAGAUGGAUUGGUGCCUUCGGGAACUGUGAGACAGGUGCUGCAUGGCUGUCGUCAGCUCGUGUUGUGAAAUGUUGGGUUAAGUCCCGCAACGAGCGCAACCCUUAUCCUUUGUUGCCAGCGGU